AAAACUCAAAGGAAUUGACGGGGACCCGCACAAGCGGCGGAGCAUGCGGAUUAAUUCCGAUGCAACGCGAAGAACCUUACCAAGGCUUGACAUAUACGAGAACGGGCCAGAAAUGGUCAACUCUUUGGACACUCGUAAACAGGUGGUGCAUGGUUGUCGUCAGCUCGUGUCGUGAGAUGUUGGGUUAAGUCCCGCAACGAGCGCAACCCUCGUUCUAUGUUGCCAGCACGUAAUGGUGGGAACUCAUGGGAUACUGCCGGGGUCAACUCGGAGGAAGGUGGGGAUGACGUCAAAUCAUCAUGCCCCUUAUGUCUUGGGCUUCACGCAUGCUACAAUGGCCGGUACAAAGGGCUGCAAUACCGUGAGGUGGAGCGAAUCCCAAAAAGCCGGUCCCAGUUCGGAUUGAGGUCUGCAACUCGACCUCAUGAAGUCGGAGUCGCUAGUAAUCGCAGAUCAGCAACGCUGCGGUGAAUACGUUCCCGGGUCUUGUACACACCGCCCGUCAAGUCAUGAAAGUCGGUAACACCUGAAGCCGGUGGCCUAACCCUUGUGGA
rnacentral:rRNA from 1 species